GGAGAAGUCUGGAAAGCUGCUGAUUGUUCUCCUUUAAUCAAUCAUCUCUAUUGAUCCAUCUCUUCCUCUGCAUGUUCUGUUCUUCCCCAGAGUGUAAAGGAGACUCAGUGACGCAGACAGAAAGAGAAGUUGUUGCUGCUGCAGGAGAAACUCGGACUCUGGGAUGUACUUUUGAAACAGCUUAUACGACACCCACAUUGUUCUGGUAUAAACAAGAAGUAAACAGUUUCCCAAAGUACAUGCUGAAGCGUUACUCCAAAACUGCAGAGAAUUCUCCAGAGUUCAGUAAAGACAGAUUUGAUUCUGAUCUCAACACCAAGGCAAAAGAGAAAUCCUUCAACCUGACGAUCCAGGAUCUCCGUCCGUCAGACUCUGCUGUGUACUACUGCGCUCUGCAGCCCACAGUGACAGGAAACACCAGAACCCUGUACAAAAACCUGCAGUACUCCACAGCAGCCACUAGAGGGCCUCACUCCCUGUUAAGCCACUAAAACCUGCAGUACUCCACAGCAGCCACUAGAGGGCCUCACUCCCUUUAAUCCACUGGUUGUUGAGUCUUUGGACUGAAGACAACAGAGAUGUGAUGUUGCGACUGAAGUCGGUGCAGAAAUACUCCAGGAAGUCUGCAGACAUGUGUAACACCUGACAUUCAGCAUCCCAGAGUUUUACAGACUUUCUAAAAUAUGUUAAAUAUCUUUAACUGUUCAAAUCUCAGAGAAAUUCGAUCCUCUUCUGCUCACUUUAGUCAUGUGUCCCUUCAGGCAUACCGUAUGGAGAAGCUGGUUUCCUACAUAUGCCAGGAAAAGGAUUUCUGGAGAUGUUAUCACAACUGCUGAAUUGACUAUCAGAUCACAGAGGCAUCAACACAGGCAGGUUGCAUUAAUAAAGUAUGAACUUGAGUUUCAACGUUUUAGAUUUUUUGCAUAGUUGAGUCCAGGGGUAUUUCAUUGUAGCCACUAAUCCAAAAACCCCUGGAGGUCAAAGGUUCAGUCCUUCGGCUUGCAGUCGGCCCAGAUCAACUUCCUUCAUCAUCAGAACACUUCAGUAAUCUCAAACUAUUGAUUUCAAAAUUCACAUUAAAAAUAACUUUAUUAAUACCAAAGGGAAAUUAAAUGUUGUAACUCAUUAAUUUAGAUUCUUCAGUUAUUGAAGAUGCUGAUGGCAGGAAAGAUCUCCUGUAGCAGUCUGUGUUACAGUGAAUCUGAAGAAG